AGGACGAACGCUGGCGGCGUGCUUAACACAUGCAAGUCGAGCGAGGCCUCUCCUUCGGGAGAGUGUCCUAGCGGCGAACGGGUGAGUAACACGUGGGCAACCUGCCCCUAGCAUCGGGAUAAGCCCGGGAAACCGGUCUAAUACCGAAUACGAUCUCAGAAGGCAUCUUCUGAGAUGGAAAAGGUUACUGGCUAGGGGAUGGGCCCGCGGCCUAUCAGCUUGUUGGUGGGGUAAAAGGCCUACCAAGGCGACGACGGGUAGCCGGCCUGAGAGGGCGACCGGCCACACUGGGACUGAGACACGGCCCAGACUCCUACGGGAGGCAGCAGUGGGGAAUAUUGCACAAUGGGCGAAAGCCUGAUGCAGCGACGCCGCGUGAGGGAUGACUGCCUUCGGGUUGUAAACCUCUUUCAGCAGGGACGAAGCGAAAGUGACGGUACCUGCAGAAGAAGCACGGCCAACUACGCGCCAGCAGCCGCGG
rnacentral:rRNA from 1 species